rnacentral:lncRNA from 1 species
GGAGCAUCUCCCUCUACUCAUUCCCCAUAGAAGGUACCCACCACACUCCCUUGUAUAUACCAGUUCAUACUUUGCAUUUUAGUUGUCUUUUGGGUAUCUCUCUCUCACUUACACAGAGACUGUGUAACUCAAGUUUGGGGGAGGUACCAAGUAUUUGAUCAUGUUUGCUUUGAUGUUGUUUCAUUGAGUCAUGCAUUGCAUAUCUUUUUGCAUAUAAAAAAAAAAAAUUCAAUCAUUUAGUUUGCAUCAUUUGCAUUUCUAGGAGAGUCUAGAGCAUAUAGGUUGCAUUCACUUGCAUUGGAAGCAAUGAUUUUAAAUGCCUUGUAAAGAACACUACGUUGCACCGGAGUAGUUUAUGCACCUCUCAAAAAGACUUGUAUGUUUCGAGCCUUGAAAACUCUUCCUGAAACUUGUUGAUUGCUGAAACUCAGUCUUUGAAGCCAACUACAACCUUAUUUGAACUGAACGAACUUAAUGCUUCUUGCUCAUGGUCCCUUGUGUACUGAGUCAUGGCUAUACACACUUGAGUUGUCACAUCCUUUAUUCCAAUCUUAUUUUGACAAACUCUAGUGGUAGACCACUCCCAAAACCCUUCCCUCCUUUUUAGCUUUCAUUGUUUGAUGAGUGAGGACUUCUUCAGAAAGUCUUACAUGUGCAUAAUGUUGAGAGUAUCGGGAACGACAAUGCUUGAUCUUCAUUCUUGCUAGAUUGGGCACUCUAUUGUCUAGCUAUAGGUGGGGGUGAGUGUUGUGAUUAUGAUUUGGGAGCAAUGAAAAAGGAAAAGAAAUGACUCUUUGUGUUUAAGUGAAUUGUUUUAUUGGGAUAAGUAGAAAAGCCUCUAGCUCAAGUUUUGAAAAGUCUUGGCCCCCAGCCUAAAA